AGCGAACGCUGGCGGCAGGCUUAACACAUGCAAGUCGAGCGGGCAUCCUUGUGGUGUCAGCGGCAGACGGGUGAGUAACGCGUGGGAACGUGCCCUUCGGUUCGGAAUAACUCAGGGAAACUUGAGCUAAUACCGGAUACGUGCGAGAGCAGAAAGGUUUAUCUGCCGAAGGAUCGGCCCGCGUCUGAUUAGCUAGUUGGUGAGGUUACGGCUCACCAAGGCGACGAUCAGUAGCUGGUCUGAGAGGAUGAUCAGCCACACUGGGACUGAGACACGGCCCAGACUCCUACGGGGGGCAGCAGUGGGGAAUAUUGGAUAAUGGGGGCAACCCUGAUCCAGCCAUGCCGCGUGAGUGAUGACGGCCUUAGGGUUGUAAAGCUCUUUUCUCCGGGACGAUAAUGACGGUACCGGAGGAAUAAGCCCCGGCUAACUUCGUG
rnacentral:rRNA from 1 species